UACGUAGGGACCGAGCGUUGUCCGGAAUCAUUGGGCGUAAAGAGCGUGUAGGCGGCCUGAUAAGUCGGUUGUGAAAGUCAAGGGCUCAACCCUUGAAUGCCGGCCGAUACUGUCAGGCUAGAGUCCGGAAGAGGCGAGUGGAAUUCCUGGUGUAGCGGCGAAAUGCGCAGAUAUCAGGAGGAACACCGGUGGCGAAGGCGGGUCUCUGGGCCGAUACUGACGCUGAGGAGCGAAAGCGUGGGGAGCAAACAGG
rnacentral:rRNA from 1 species